GCGCCGCUCCUGGAGGCAGAAACGUCCGCCGUUUGCUCGGAUCCGAUGCGAGAUUUGCUGCUGUUCGUGCUCGUCACUUUUUCUUUUGCUUGUUCUUCUGUCGUUCGGAUUCUUCUUGAUUUUGGUUUGGUUUUGUGGUUGAUGAGAGGAGAGCGGCGGCGAUGACGAAAAACAUGGUUCGCUCGUCUGAACGGCGGGUUCUCCCCCGCCUUGCGGAGCUUAAAAGUAGUCCGAGCCCAGCGACGCCUCCUCUGGAUCGAUCCACUGCUCGUUUCUUUCGACGCUGCUUGUUUCUUUCUUUUCUCUCUCUGCUUCAAUCUUCGUGUCGUGUUUUGGUUUCUGAUGAGAAGGGGGUGUUGCAAUGAUGAUUUCUUCAGUCUCGAGAGCAGGUCCCUGCUCGAUGAAUCUGGGAAAUAAUCACCGUUAUUUCCUCCUGAGCGGUUACCUGAGCAACGCCACCCAUCAAUCACCCACCCCUGUUCUUUCGCAUUGGCACUAUGAACGAGCUGAAGAAACGAUUGGAGGAACGGUUCUUUUUCUUGCCAGAUUUCAUUCCAAGACACGAGCGCAGAAUGAUGCUACGAAGCAGAAAGCAGAGUAAAAUUGUAUAUUUGGUGCCAAGAACAAGAUGUCACAGCAGCAGAUGUUCACGAGGCUUGGUCGUUGGUGGCCCUUCCCAGCCCGUUGUGCUGCUCCAUGAAGCGCACGACGACGCAGGUGAUGUUGUCGGCGCUGCCCCGCUGGGAGGCCUCCGCGAGGAGCCGCUUGGCCGCCUGCUCCGAGUCCAGGAUCGGCUUCACCAUGCCCACGGCUUCCUGCAACCAGAUGCUUAGCUUCAGAUGAGCAGCUUUCCGGGACCCCUUGAUUUUCUGAUGACGAAAGGUUUCGCGUUUUACCUCGUUGGUCACCACGUCCCACAGACCAUCACUUGCAAGGAUGAGGAACUCCAAGGAGCUGUCCACAACCUCCUCCUGAACCAACCAAACAAACAGGGGAUCAUUUCGAAUGAUGCUGGUGACUGGUCUCUGCAUCAGUUUUGUACUCUGGGAAAUCUACAAACCUUGAUCUC